rnacentral:rRNA from 1 species
UACGUAGGCAGCGAGCGUUGUUCGGAGUUACUGGGCGUAAAGGGCGCGUAGGCGGUCGUGACAAGUCACUUGUGAAAUCUCCGGGCUUAACUCGGAACGGUCAAGUGAUACUGUCGGACUAGAGUACAGAAGGGGCAACUGGAAUUCUCGGUGUAGCGGUGAAAUGCGUAGAUAUCGAGAGGAACACCUGCGGCGAAAGCGGCUCACUGGACCACAACUGACGCUGAGGCGCGAAAGCUAGGGGAGCAAACAGG